GAUGAACGCUAGCGACAGGCCUAACACAUGCAAGUCGAGGGGCAGCACAUGAGUAGCAAUACGAUGGUGGCGACCGGCGCACGGGUGAGUAACACGUAUGCAACCUGCCUGUAAGAGGGGGAUAACCCGGAGAAAUUCGGACUAAUACCGCAUAAUACCACGAGACUGCAUGGUUUUGUGGUUAAACAUUUAUGGCUUACAGAUGGGCAUGCGUAUGAUUAGAUAGUUGGUAGGGUAACGGCCUACCAAGUCUACGAUCAUUAGGGGUUCUGAGAGGAAGGUCCCCCACACUGGUACUGAGACACGGACCAGACUCCUACGGGAGGCAGCAGUAGGGAAUAUUGGGCAAUGGGCGGAAGCCUGACCCAGCCAUGCCGCGUGAGGGAAGAAGGCCUUCGGUUGUAACCUCUGUCAUGGGGGAAGAAGUAAGUGACGGUACCCAGAGGAAGCCCCUGCUAACUACGUG
rnacentral:rRNA from 1 species